UCCCUGGUGGUCCAGAGGCUAAGACUCUGCACUUCCAAUAUGGGGAGUGCAGGUUCGAUCCCUGGUCAGGGAA
rnacentral:tRNA from 1 species